GAAAUGGAGAACCGAACGUGGAAACUGUUCCCGCCUACUCUAGUAAAUACAGCGAUUUUUAUUAAUAACGUUCGGACACUACUAUGUUCCACAGAUUAUUGCUUCAUGCACUAUGGUUUAGGACCACGAAUUUAAUUCAUCGUACAAUCGAGCAACCAUACUGGUGCAGGAUGAUUAGAAAGAGAAAAAAAGGAGAAAGACAAAAAGAGAGAGAAUUCUACUAAUGUCAGAGACGAAGGUGGGAUCUCUGUAUCGGGAACAAUCGAGUGAACGUUGAGGAAGAUUAGAAACUGGACGGGGAACGGAAACAUUGGAACGUUGGAGAAUGCAAGAGGAUGUAGGCUCUAUUGUCGAAGGAGAGUUUGAAAGGGGCUCGCGGAAGUGAAAAUUAAAAUGAAUGUCACAGAGAACUAGGGUCUUGUUCUUGUUCGGUAGAGUGGGGAAAAAGUACCAGGUUUUAGAGGACUGGUUCCUUUUGUGGCGAUGAAAUUUUUUUCAAGGAUGAGUACUUGAGAAAUAAUAUAUUUUUUUUUUUACUCUAUUAUGAAAAAUGUCAAAGGUGUAGAACAUUCAGAGAGUAAAACAUUCAUAGAAAAUGGAGCAGAUGUUAUAUGUUACGAAA
rnacentral:misc_RNA from 1 species